rnacentral:rRNA from 1 species
CAGCCGCCACGGGAAUACGGAGGGUGCAAGCGUUAAUCGGAAUUACUGGGCGUAAAGCGCACGCAGGCGGUCUGACAAGUCAGAUGUGAAAUCCCCGGGCUUAACCUGGGAACUGCAUUUGAAACUGUCAGGCUGGAGUCUUGUAGAGGGGGGUAGAAUUCCAGGUGUAGCGGUGAAAUGCGUAGAGAUCUGGAGGAAUACCGGUGGCGAAGGCGGCCCCCUGGACAAAGACUGACGCUCAGGUGCGAAAGCGUGGGGAGCAAACAGGAUUAGAGACCCCAGUAGUCCCUGUCUCUUAUAA